GAUGAACGCUAGCUACAGGCUUAACACAUGCAAGUCGAGGGGCAGCAUGGCUGUAGCAAUACAGCUGAUGGCGACCGGCAAACGGGUGCGGAACACGUACGCAACUUACCCAUAACUGAUGGAUAGCCCGAAGAAAUUCGGAUUAAUACAUCGUAAAAUCACAGAGUGGCAUCACUUAAUGAUUAAAGAAUUUCGCUUGAAGAUGGGCGUGCGCCUGAUUAGGUAGUUGGUGAGGUAACGGCUCACCAAGUCAACGAUCAGUAACUGGCGUGAGAGCGCGACCAGUCACACGGGCACUGAGACACGGGCCCGACUCCUACGGGAGGCAGCAGUAAGGAAUAUUGGUCAAUGGACGCAAGUCUGAACCAGCCAUGCCGCGUGAAGGAUGAAGGCCCUCUGGGUCGUAAACUUCUUUUAUCUGGGACGAAAUCACCUUUUUCUAAGGGUGUUGACGGUACCAGAGGAAUAAGCACCGGCUAACUCCGUGCCAGCCGCCGCCGUAA
rnacentral:rRNA from 1 species